rnacentral:lncRNA from 1 species
AGAAGAAGAAGAAGAAGAAGAAGAAGAAGGAGUAGCCUUGCCUUCCUCAGAAGUUCUACGACGCACUUGAUCUGGGCACCAACGGGGGCGUUUCUAAUGGCGUUGAUGCGUUGAAGCCUCUCGGUGUCGCUGGAGAAUUUGACGGCCGCAGGGGCUGGAUCCGGGCCCGGAGAGGAUCUUGCGGGCGGCUGACGCGUUGACUUCUGAGGCCGGGCGUCUCCAGAGGAGGAGAAGGACGAGGACGACGGCGGUGCUUGGGUCGCGGCAACGGUGAGGUUGACCAGCGAUUCUUCUUGCUGAUGCCUGCGCAGAUCGAGCCUUCCCUGAAGAGACAUCUGCGAGAUUGUUGGGUGAAACCUGGGGAUUAUAUUCAAGUCCAGAAGAGAUGCGACUGCAUAAACUAGAACAGCGACAUGGAUCUGAUCAGAGCCCACGUGGGCACGGAUCAAUAAACCAUAAUCAGCAACACCAGCAGGAGGGGGGGGGGGGAAGGGAGAGGAAGAGAUGGGGAGGAGGGACUUACGGUUGAGCAAAAAGGAAC